GAGUUAUGCACAACCGACAGGCCAUGUCUCUUAGCAGAUGUUACGAGAACGUUUAGAGAGAACGGUUUAAACGUUACAAGAGCAGAAGUAUCCACAUCACAGGAGGUAGCUCUAAACCUGUUCUACGUAACGGAUGGACAUGGGAGCGCUGCAGAUACAAAAAUGAUAGACUCCGUUAGAGAGAAAAUUGGGAUGAGUAACUUGAAAGUAAAAGAAUUACCAUUGGUUUCUCAACAAAAGACAGAAGGGGAGGAGCAAGCAGCGAGUGUAGGUGGGGCUGUUUUGUUAUCUCUCGGGAGCAUAUUGAGAAGGAAUCUCUACAACUUGGGAUUAAUCAGGUCAUACUCGUAGGCAUAGAGGCAGAGAGAGAGAGAGAGAAGAAAAGAAAAACCAAUAGAGUUAUUGAAAAAUUUGUCCAUAUGUCUACCUUUUCCGAUAGCAUAUUCUUUGCUUGAAGUUUGAGCAUAAUAGUUAGUGUACAUAAAAGAAUCAAACAUUGGAAGGAAAGAAAGGAGUUGGGUACUUUGUUGAUAGUUAAUUUGUUUUAAAGAAGUUGGUGGAAUUAUUUCUGAUGGAAAAGAGAAGAGAGGAGAGAAGAAAGGUUUAAAAUGGGUAAAGAGUAGUGUUUAUUAUGGUGUGUGGUCUGACAUGUGCUGCUGCUGCUACUAGCUGGCGGACCAAUGUUUGG
rnacentral:lncRNA from 1 species